ACUUCAAUAGUUGAUUCUAAUUUCAACAUGACUAUGGCCAGGCAAGUGAAACUAUCCACUUGUAAGGAGUCCAGGACUGGACUUGUCCCGGGCCCUUGUACUUUUCAAAGAUUUUGGCCCUCCUCCUGGCCACAGCAGGUGGGAUGGAGUGUAUGUCUUCUCUCCUUGCUGCUUAUUGGCCUUUGGAGCUGUGUGACCUGUCAUUGGAGCCCUGGGGAGGACAUCUGCACAGCCAAGCCUCGGGACAUUCCCAUGAAUCCCAUGUGUAUUUACCGUGCCCCAGAGAAGAAAGCAACCGAGGGCGAGGGCUCAGAGCAGAAGAUCCCCGGGGCCACCAACCGGCGGGUUUGGGAACUGUCCAAGGCCAAUUCCCACUUUGCCGCCACCUUCUAUCAGCAUCUGGCAGACAAGAAGAAUGACAAGGACAACAUUUUCCUGUCACCUCUGAGUAUCUCCACAGCUUUUGCUAUGACCAAGCUGGGUGCCUGUGACAACACCCUCAAGCAGCUGAUGGAGGUUUUUAAGUUUGAUACCAUCUCUGAGAAGACAUCUGAUCAGAUCCACUUUUUCUUUGCCAAACUGAACUGCCGACUCUAUCGAAAAGCCAAUAAAUCCUCUGAGUUGGUAUCAGCCAACCGUCUUUUUGGAGACAAAUCCCUUACCUUCAAUGAGACCUACCAGGACAUCAGUGAGAUGGUAUAUGGAGCCAAGCUCCAGCCCCUGGACUUCAAGGGAAAUGCAGAGCAGUCCAGAGUGACCAUCAACCAAUGGAUAUCCAACAAGACUGAUGGGCGUAUCACUGAUGUCAUUCCCCCAGAAGCCAUCAAUGAGUUCACUGUCUUGGUGCUGGUCAACACCAUUUACUUCAAGGGCCUGUGGAAGUCAAAGUUCAGCCCUGAGAACACAAGGAAGGAACUUUUCUACAAGGCCGAUGGGGAGUCGUGUUCGGUAUUCAUGAUGUACCAGGAAGGCAAGUUCCGCUAUCGGCGCGUGGCAGAGGGCACCCAGGUGCUUGAGUUGCCCUUCAAGGGUGAUGACAUCACCAUGGUGCUCAUCCUGCCCAAGCUUGAGAAGAGCCUGACCAAGGUGGAACAGGAACUCACCCCAGAGGUGCUGCAGGAGUGGCUAGAUGAGCUGACAGAGACACUGCUUGUGGUCCACAUGCCCCGCUUCCGCAUUGAGGACAGCUUCAGCGUGAAAGAGCGGCUGCAAGACAUGGGCCUUGAGGACCUCUUCAGCCCUGAGAAGUCCAAGCUCCCAGGUAUUGUUGCAGAAGGCCCGAGGGACCUCUAUGUCUCAGAUGCAUUCCACAAGGCAUUUCUUGAGGAACGGUGCCAGGCAUGAAUGCAAUGUGGCUUUUGAUGGCUUCUGGUGGACGGUUGUGUACCAAAGGGAUGAGAACCGCUGCUGGGGUCUUAAAGCACAAGCUUAAUGCUGUAUCCAUGGGCAAACAGGCACUAUGCAGGAAGUUAAGCACUAUGUAGGCACUAAGCUGAAAGUUCAAGGGGCACUGUUUUAGAUUUGUGGGGAGAAAAUUGAUUUGGCUGUUAUAAAACCACUCUCAUUUCUUAGGUGGACUUGAAUCCUUGACCUGUCCGGGCCAACUUUUUGAUCCUGGGUACACGUUUUUAUCUAUGGAUGGCUUGCUUGGGGUGCAAAUUUUGGAGAUCUUUUAUAUAAAGGUGACAAGAGAGGUACUGGCUACAACGCAGGGAGCAAGACCUUUUAAGCAAAGGCACAUGUGUUACCCUGAAGAUUUCAAGGGCAUUUAUGACAGCAGUCAUGCAUCUUAACGGUUGACAGGCAGCUGGAUGGAUGCUCAUGGGAUAGGAGAGGAAACAACUUUCAAUUUUUUUUAAAGCCUAUCGUAUUUACUGGCCAUGCUGUACACCAUGUGGCUUGUAGGAUCUUAGUUCCCCCACCAGGGAUUGUACCUGUG